UACAGAGGUGGCAAGCGUUGUUCGGAAUUACUGGGCGUAAAGGGCGCGUAGGCGGUUCGGUAAGUCCUGUGUGAAAUCCCUCGGCUCAACUGAGGAACUGCAUGGGAGACUGCCGGGCUUGAGUUCGGGAGAGGGAAGCGGAAUUCCGGGUGUAGCGGUGAAAUGCGUAGAUAUCCGGAGGAACACCGGUGGCGAAGGCGGCUAUCUGGACCGACAUUGACGCUGAGGCGCGAAAGCGUGGGGAGCAAACAGG
rnacentral:rRNA from 1 species